rnacentral:rRNA from 1 species
GACGUAGGGCGCGAGCGUUGUCCGGAUUUAUUGGGCGGAAAGAGCUCGUAGGCGGCUUGUCGCGUCGACCGUGAAAACUUGGGGCUCAACCCCAAGCCUGCGGUCGAUACGGGCAGGCUAGAGUUCGGCAGGGGAGACUGGAAUUCCUGGUGUAGCGGUGAAAUGCGCAGAUAUCAGGAGGAACACCGGUGGCGAAGGCGGGUCUCUGGGCCGAUACUGACGCUGAGGAGCGAAAGCGUGGGGAGCGAACAGG